CGCGGUCCUCGACAGUGGCUCCCGGACCCCGCCGCACGGCGGGAUGCCGAGGGCCUCGAUCGAAGACCAGG
rnacentral:ncRNA from 3 species